GGGACCCUGGAUGCAUCCCAUACUGUGAUUCCCUGAUUUCCUCAAGAAGCACUGGAUGUGGCAAUGGCCCAAGACCUCUGGCAAAAGGAGGUUCACGAACUGGUGGUAGUCCACCGUGAGGCACACCAUUUAGUGGGAUGGGCGGUCCUCGAUUUCUUCCAGACAUAAUAUAAACAUCAAGAAGCCAGCUUUCUGUCUACUGCCAGGAAAGCCACUCC
rnacentral:misc_RNA from 1 species